UGUGAACCCCAAACUACAUUAAAGAAGAACAACCCGAAGAAGAAUGAUGAAGGUCUGUGCAUGCUUCUGUCUCAGAUCGCCAGGGAGUUGGAAGUGUCCCCAGAGUUGGACCAAAAGGAGCUUCUCCUGCUGCCCACUGCCGACUGGAGUUUGACGCUCUCCUUGGGUUUGCAGGUCAUUACCCUCAGGAUGUCCUGGAGCUGACGACGGAACUUGAUCCCCACAAAAGCAUACAAGACAGGGUUGAGGCUGCAGUGGAGGUAACCUACGGUGGGGGUGAUGAUCAUGGCCUUCCCCAGCGACGCUCUGAACUCACAACUCUGGCUGGUGUCCUCUGAAAAGGCAGUGUCUACCAUUAGUGUGAUGUUGUACGGCAUCCAGCAGAUGAAGAACACCACCACCACGGCGGCGAUGACCCUGAAGGCCUUUUGUUUCUGGAGGCCCUGUGAGCCGCAGCGCAGCCGCCGCAGGAUGCACGAGUAGCAGAAGACCAGGACCAAUGACGGCACCAGGAAGCCGGCGACGUGGUAGACGAGGCGCAAGGCCAGUCUCCAGGACUCGGAGACGUUGCGGACGCAUUCGGUUUUGUCUCGUCGGGCGUCUUUCAGGGCUUCCAGGAAGAUCCAGUCGGGGAGAGACAGGAAGAGCGAAAAAAGCCAUACGGCCGAGCAGCUGGCCUGGAUGAAGUGGGGUUUCCUGUGGGAGUACAUCUGGGUGGCGUGGACAAUGGAAAGAGAGGAGUACCAAACGUCCACCCCGCCCCUUGGGCGUCCUGUGCCAUCAACAAGGGCAGCGUGACCAGCAGCAGCACAUCAGCCACAGCCAAGUGGAGAAUGAAGGUGUCCGUCACACUCCAGCUCUUCCUGCUCCGAGCCAGAACCCCCAGGAGCACCGCGUUCCCUGGGAUGCCCACCACCAAAGCCACCGAGUACAGAACCGGGAUGAAGACCGCCUCAAACUGCCGGCCCUCCUUCACGCUGCUGCAUGAAUCGUUGGUGUAGAAGUCAGUUGCUUCUGAGAAGUUGACGCCAUCAAAGAUCAGAUCGUCCACAUCAAAGCUACCCGUCUUCCUCCCCCGUUGUCGAGCUGUGUGUCUCGUCUUCCCGGAUCCCCUCUGAACUCUCUGCUGCCUCUCUGGAUCUCGACCUCACGCCUGCCCUUGACUUUCUGCCAGUCUCUGGACUUCCGAGCCUACCUUGCCCUAUCUGGACUUCCGCCUCGAUUUUAACACGCACCUUCAACACCCCCUGGUAACAACCCUCACAUACUUGCUACACAUAGUCACACCAUAUUCAUGUGGAUUACGUACACACUUCACUAAGGCUGCAGCUAACGAUUAUUUUUCUAUCGAUUAAUCUAUAGAUUAUUUUUUCGAUUAAUCGGUUAAUCUAUAGAUUAUUUUUUCGAUUAAUCUAUAGAUUAUUUUUCCUUUUACCGAUUAUUUUUUUUAUUCAAAAUGAAGAUGAAAAAAUAAAUGUAGGCCUGUUUUUUCAAAAGGCAUGGCUUUUAUUUACAAAAAAAAAGAAGUAUGGCCACUCAGUCAACAUUGACAACAACAUGACUAAAUAUUCUGUAACAAUGUAAACAUUUAAAACUUUUAACAUUUAACAAAAUUAAAAGUAGCUUAUUUGCUUUUUAAUGUGCAAAUAUAAAAGUCAACAUCCAGUGCAAAUCUUAAUAUUCUGCAAUAGUAUAAGCAUUUCAAAAGUAAAAGUAUUGCUUAUUUUGCUUUAAAAUGUGCAAAAAUAAAGAUAAACAUCCAAUACAAAAAAGUGCAAAACGAAAUAUUCUGUAACAACAGUGUAAACAUUUCAACAAAAGUGAAAGUAUUGCUUAUUUGCUAAAAUGUGCAAAAAUAAAGAUAAACAUCCAAUACAAAAAAGUGCCAAUCUAAAUAUUCUGGAGCACUGUAAACAUUAAGUAUUGCUUUUAAAAUGUGCAAAAUAAACAUCCAGUCUAACACCGUACACAAUAACCAAUUCUACUCAUUCCAGUGAGUGACUAACAGUUGUAAUGAAGAAAGGUUAGCAUGUGUACAUGUUUGGUUCUUUUCUUGUUUACAAUAUUCCCAGCAGCUGAAAAUAGGCGCUCAGAAGGGGUCGAUGUGGCUGGAACGAGAGGUAAUUAGCCUUCACCUCAAGCCAGGACUGCGAGUGAGCUGAGCUGCAGUUUAUAUUUCUAGAAGGUCAACGGGCUCAUAGUGAUGUUACUAGUAGUUGACUGGGAGGUGUUUAUUAUCAUUUGGGGAGAGUCCGCUGCCUGAUGCUCACCUGCUAAACACCUAUCUGCUCCACGCUGAAGCGCUGACUACAUGCGCUCUGAAUACACACUGCUGAUUGGCUGAUAAUGCUUCGUGUGUACCAAUCAGAUGGUUGUGUGGGUGGGACAAUGCUGCGUGUGUACCAAUCAGAUGGUUGUGUGGGUGGGACAAUGCUGCGUGCUGAGACAGACGCAGAGGAGCGAAGCAGCUUGUUAAGACUUUAGCAGCUAAAGUUAGCUUUAGCUUAGAAACUCGUUCGGUACACCCCCGUGCCGAACCGAAAGCCCCGUACCGAAACGGUUCAAUACAAAACACGUACCGUUACACCCCUAGCAGAUACAAAUGACACAGUCAUGUUUUUGUGUAAUGAUGACAACGUAUGCUCGCGCGGACGAUUGACUAGUUGAUGGUUUUCUUUUCAAAUGUUCGUUCAUAGCCGUUGUGCUGCUAUGAUAGGCCAUUUCCGCUCGACACAGUGUGCAUACAACAACAUUAUUAGGCCGUUUAUUGAAAUACUCCCACACUUUUGACCACUUUUGGCAUGCUUUUCCCCCCUCGCUCGCACCGCUCGCACCGUCUGCUUUGAUCGUCUGCUUUGCGGUCCGCCAUGACGGUAGUGUGACGUAAAUAUGCGACGCGUCGACGCACAA